rnacentral:rRNA from 1 species
UACGUAGGGUGCAAGCGUUGUCCGGAAUUAUUGGGCGUAAAGAGCUUGUAGGCGGUUUGUCGCGUCUGCCGUGAAAAUUCGAGGCUCAACCUCGAACUUGCGGUGGGUACGGGCAGACUAGAGUGUGGUAGGGGAGACUGGAAUUCCUGGUGUAGCGGUGAAAUGCGCGGAUAUCAGGAGGAACACCGAUGGCGAAGGCAGGUCUCUGGGCCACUACUGACGCUGAGAAGCGAAAGCAUGGGGAGCGAACAGG